AAAUAUGAUACUAUCAUACGACAGAAGUAUGGUAAGGACUUAUCUUCCCAUCCUUCUUUAGAUGAGGAGGCUUGGCUGGCUGCUACGGGAUCUUCUAAAAAGAGCAGAGUGUUUGGAUUAGGUUAUACCUUAGUUCCUCCAUCUAAAUCCAACUAUCCAUCAUCUUAAAAUAGCACCAUUGGAUGUGGUGCACAGCCACGUUCGAACAAUCAGGUGACAAGGG
rnacentral:lncRNA from 1 species